rnacentral:rRNA from 1 species
UGGGGGAUAUUGCACAAUGGGCGAAAGCCUGUUGCAGCGACGCCGCGUGGGGGAUGAAGGCCUUCGGGUUGUAAACUUCUUUUGCUCUGAACAAGGCAUGCCUUUGGGGUGUGUUGAGUGUAGGGGUUGAUUAGCGCCGGCUAACUACGUGCCAGCAGCCGCGGUAAUACGUAGGGCGCGAGCGUUGUCCGGAAUUAUUGGGCGUAAAGGGCUUGUAGGUGGCUGGUUGCGUCUGUCGUGAAAGCUCAUGGCUUAACUGUGGGUUUGCGGUGGGUACGGGCUGGCUUGAGUGCAGUAGGGGAGGCUGGAAUUCCUGGUGUAGCGGUGGAAUGCGCAGAUAUCAGGAGGAAUACCGGUGGCGAAGGCGGGUCUCUGGGCUGUUACUGACGCUGAGGAGCGAAAGCGUGGGGAGCGAACAGG